rnacentral:rRNA from 1 species
UGCAGUCGACGGCGUAGGUACUUGGCAUUGCUAAGUCCCUACGUAGUGGCGGACGGGUGAGUAACACGUGAGAAUCUGCCUUGAGGACGGGGAUAACAGUAGGAAACCACUGCUAAUACCGGAUAAGCCGAAAGGUGAAAAGAAAUUUGCCUGAAGAGGAGCUCGCGUCUGAUUAGCUAGAUGGUGAGGUAAAAGCUUACCAUGGCAACGAUCAGUAGCUGGUCUGAGAGGAUGAGCAGCCACACUGGGACUGAGACACGGCCCAGACUCCUACGGGAGGCAGCAGUGGGGAAUAUUGGACAAUGGGCGAAAGCCUGAUCCAGCAGCCGCGGUAAUACG